GCGGAAAUAGCUCAGUUGGUAGAGCAUAACCUUGCCAAGGUUAGGGUCGCGAGUUCGAAUCUCGUUUUCCGCUC
rnacentral:tRNA from 3 species